rnacentral:lncRNA from 1 species
UUUUUAAUUUUUAGGUUUUUUACUGUUUACUUAUUUUUGAGAGGGAGAGAGAGCACAAGCGGGGAGGGGCAGAGAGAGAGGGAGACACAGAAUCUGAAGCAGGCUCCAGGCUCCGAGCCAUCAGGACAGAGCCCGACGCGGGGCUUGAACCCACGAACCGCGAGCCGAAGUCAGGAGCUUAACCAGCUGAGCCACCCAGGUGCCCCCUGAGGCUUCUUAUCCACGGCCUCCAGCUUGCCUCCAGGUCACGGGCAGAACGCGUGUAGAGGCCGCUCGCCGCUGGACCAACUCAGUCGCAGAGAGCAAAGUUGUUGGAGACCUCAUACCUCCCUCCAGCCCCGGCUGCCUCUGAGGGGAUUGCUGACCACCCCACCCCCUACGAGACUUGUUGGGUUGCCUCGAAGGCUUGGGCCCACCCGCAUGACUUCUGCAGGCCUGCCUGGUGCUCAGCACACAUCCUCUUUACCGAUCCUGGAGGCUGCUGAAAGGGGCUCUUUUCCAUCCUCGACUCUGGUGAGUGCCACCGUGAGAAUCGGGAGACCCU